UUGAACACAAAGUUUCUCGUUGCCCAGCUCACAGAUUAGGGUGCAGUAAAAAGGCGGGCUUUAGAAUGGAAGGUGAAACUGUGCCCCAACUCGUGCAGAGUUCUGAAGCCUGUGCGGCUAGUUAUUGGUACGCAGUGACGCAAAACUUUGGGUCGUCCUCAGAAGUUUUCACUGAACACCCCAUACAUAAAGAUGAAGUCCAUCAUAACUGUCCUAUAUGCAAAAAAUCGUUUAAAUGAAAAUCUGAACUGAUGCGACAUCACAGAGCCCACACAGGUAUUCGACCUUUUAUGUGUCAUCUGUGUUUUAAGAGCUUUAACUACAACAGUGCUCUCUUGGAACAUUUACGUGUACAUUCUGGAGAGAAACCAUACAAAUGCAGUGAGUGCAACAAAUGUUUUAGACAAGGGUCGACUCUUAACAGACACAAAAAGAUACACACAGGAGAAAAGCCGCAUCAAUGUGAAGUCUGUGGCAAGUGUUUUUCUGAAAAGAAAGGCCGUGAUGUUCACAAAAGGACACACAUUUGUAAACAGCCAUUUUAUUGUUCCAAGUGCCAUCAGUAUUUCAUGCGCAGGGCAUCUCUGCUUAGACAUAUCAAGAAAAAUCAUCCAAUUAUUGAGUCCAGCACAGGUUGUUUAGAUGACAAGACUGGAAAAUACCAGAGUCAUGAAAGCAAAGCACCACAAGCUACAGAGGUAACAGUGAAAGUAGAGAAACCAGAUAGUGAGGAAAUGAGUCUUGAGAUGCUCAUUAAAGAAAGUGACCUUUUGACUGAUUUGAACUAUCUCAAAGAGGAGGUUGUAGACUGAUAUGAACAGAACUUGGUACCUUUUUCUCUUAUUACAGCGAGACAUGGAAAAAUACUAACACAUUGAUUUGAUUCUGACAGGUCAAUAAUGUGUGCCGACCAACAAGUGUAAAAGAGUUUCCAAAGCUAACUUUUCAAGCAUUAGCCCUUUGUCAUUCACUCUGAUGAAGGGGUAAGGCUUGGUGUAUGAGCCUUAGAGAUUCUAUGGUGGCCAACUGACAUAAUCAACCCAAUUGAUCAAACCAAAUUAUCUUAUAAUACCCUCUAGUGUUGCAGCAACUUGGUUUCUUUAGAAACUUACCAGUUACUUACCCUUAUCUUUAACGACUAUAAAGUUCAGAGCAUGCAAGAAAACCUCAAACUGAUUACUGUUGCUGUUUGUAGCUAAAUUUUCACAAGUCUGAAUGGCUUUUUUCUUUUGGAAAUAGUUCUGCUCACUUUUUUUUUUUUUGAGUUUCACAAUGAAAUUAAUCACCAGUAAAGGCUUGUUUCAUCCCUUCAGCACCCAAGAGUACGCCAUUACUUUACUUCAAUUUUUCAUACAGUUAUAUCUCUGCCAAAAAAGCAGGUGAACGAAAUUUAAAAAAUUUUCAGCCAGGGAAUAUUGAUGAUAUUUACCAUCACUUUCUUCGGAACAGCAAACAAAGAAAUGUGUUGAGAUUUGACCGGAGAGUUUGCUUUCAGAUCUUGGUUGUUGAAGGAAAAUAUUUUGUACAUUUUCCCAUUUUUCUAGUUUAACCCUUUCACCUUCAAGAUCUCCUUUAUUUAUUUAUUCUCAUCAUUUAUCUGCUUUUUAUUAUAUUGAUAUUGUGAAGAGGAAUUCUAUCUUUGUCAUUUGGUCAGGCAGGAUAGUGUUUCCCAACAGAAGAAAGGGCUUUAUAAUGGUAAUACAGCCCAACAGAGUCUAAUUUUGUCUGUAAUAACAUGAGAGAUAAAAAGAAAAAAACAGAACAACUGCAAAACAGGACUGCAAAAAGUUAAUCUUAAGGAUAAUUGCAGAUAGAAUUGUAGGACUCAAUGCUACCAUCAAUUGAUGAAACUCUGAAAGAAUUUAUGAAACAAAAUACCCUUUAGUAAGAGAAAUUCUUAAAUGCACACAAAGAAGUUAAGUUUUUUUCAGCGAGACCUCGAAGCUUACAGUCCAAAUCCAAAAUUUGAAGAUUCUCCAGCAAUUGUCUUUGAGUAUCAUGAAAAUGUUAAAUAAUCAUACUCACACAGAUAUUAUGAUCAUAUUAUCAACAUAAUUAUAUUUAAGAUUGUAUUUAUUAAGUAUUUAAUAUCUGUCUUUAUCUUGUCAUCUUCCUGUUCAUUUUCCUAUUUCUAGAUUAAACUUAGCUAGCCUCUUACUAA